GCGGGUAUAGCUGAAGUGGUAGAGCGCAUGCUUAGCAGGCAUAAGGUCCUGGGUUCAAUCCCCAGUACCUCCU
rnacentral:tRNA from 1 species